UGAUGAAUUCGUAUCACUCAACUUUUAAUCAGGUGGUCGCGGGUUCGAGUCCCGCCCGGCUCACCA
rnacentral:tRNA from 1 species